rnacentral:rRNA from 1 species
GGGUCAUUAGGUUGGUCGUGCCACCGGUACGUACUGGUCUCACUGACUCCUCCUUCCUGAAGAACCGUAAUGCCAUUAAUUUGGUGUUGCGGGGAAACAGGACUGUUACUUUGAAAAAAUUAGAGCGUUUAAAGCAAGCUAACGCUUGAAUACAUUAUCAUGGAAUAAUGAAAUAGGACGAUCGAUCCUAUUUUGUUGGUUUCUAGGAUUGACGUA